GAAAUUAAUGUUCAGUGAAGCUCCUCACAACAAUCACACAUUCAGCAAUUCAGCAGUAAAUGCUGGAAUAUCUCCAUUAGUUCACAAGUGAAGACCAACAUCAAAGCAUCAGGAAGAAAUCUGCAAAGACUGAGUUUAUUAAAGAGGACAGAGAGAAGAUGAGUGAUCCAGAACCCUGCAGAAUCAAACACACUGAAGAUACUGAAGAACUAACAGAGUUGACUGAAGAAAGUGAGGAGAAUGAAGAAUUGAGUGAAGUUGAGGGAAAAAAUCAUUUCAGAACUGGAAAAAAACCUUUGAGUUGCUCUCAA